rnacentral:rRNA from 1 species
GGCGAACGCUGGCGGCGUGCUUAACACAUGCAAGUCGAACGGAAAGGCCCCUUUGGGGGUACUCGAGUGGCGAACGGGUGAGUAACACGUGAGUAACCUGCCCUUGACUUCGGGAUAACUUCAGGAAACUGGGGCUAAUACCGGAUAGGAAUCCUUGCUGCAUGGUGGGGGUUGGAAAGCUUCGGCGGUUUUGGAUGGACUCGCGGCUUAUCAGCUUGUUGGUGGGGUAGUGGCUUACCAAGGCUUUGACGGGUAGCCGGCCUGAGAGGGCGACCGGCCACAUUGGGACUGAGAUACGGCCCAGACUCCUACAGGAGGCAGCAGUGGGGAAUAUUGCACAAUGGGCGGAAGCCUGAUGCAGCAACGCCGCGUGCGGGAUGACGGCCUUCGGGUUGUAAACCGCUUUCAGCAGGGGCGAAGCUUGUGGUGACGGUACCUGCAGAAGAAGCACCGGCUAACUACGUG